UACCAUUAUAACUUUUUAAAUUACAACUAUUCAACAUCAAUUACAAACGCACCAUAACUUUACUUAUUCGCAAGUUCAAUGGGUACCGUUUUGAGGUUCAAACUCCCCAAAGUCAAUCAAAUAAAAAAGAAUGAGAAGAGAAAUUUUUAAAUAAUAAUUAACAGGGAGAAUCGAUUGCACAUCUUUCAAUGUCGUUGUUUGAUGGCGAUUGGCGAAGGAGGGCACAAGAGGAGAUAUGAGUAGGAUUUUAGGCGGGGCCUACUUUUGCCCCAAAUAUCAAGUGAAGCUCGUGCCAACCAUAAACUAUGAAGCACCACUCCCCAUAUAGUCAAAACUCACGCAAAAUUUUGAUUCAAUUAAAGCCUGCAAAUUCCAGCAGGAGCCGAGACCCAUCUAUAUCUGUCUGUAUCUGGGGUUGUUUAAUUGGUUCAAACUUCAAAGCAAAAGGUUAGAAUUUGUAAAAUAAAUCAUGCUAAAUGAUUUAGUGUUAUUUAUUUUUUGACCAUUUGCAUUACGUGGGUUGUCUUCCGAGAUGCUCUGCCUUUGCUGCUUUGCUGACUCCUGAAGUAAGUAAGAUUGGCUCAACUGGAAAAAAGAUACAGAUAGGAUUAAUGUAAGGCGAUGUUUGUCUGGUUCCGGAAAAGUUUAAAAACUACAAAGUGAAGGAACAUGCAACAAAUUGGACGCAUGGGGGGGGGUGGGGGACGGGGGGGACCUUUACCUUUCAAAAUCUCAAUUCAAGGAUUGCAACCAACCACUAGUGGCUUUGCCUUCGAAAGCGAUUUUUGUUUGAUGAAUCUGCUUUUGCCCUUAACGGCGCUAGUGUAGCUGCAGGCUAGGCACUAGCUAGGCAGCACAUGCAACCCCUUUGGCUCCAUUCCUGCAAUUCAAAACCUACUUGCCAUCUACUACAUAAUUAUGAGAAUUCAAUUGACUGCUUGAAUCCAAUCGUAACUUCAGAAAUGGUAGGCUAUGCUAUACAUCUCCUGCUUCGGAAACAAACAUCUAAACUUACUUUGUUGUUCGUGAAUUCCAUAUGGUGAUAUUAUUAUAUUAAUCAGCUUUAGACGGACAGAAUUCACUCACGGAACGGAAAGGAGAGACGCGCUUACAGCUAU
rnacentral:lncRNA from 1 species